UGCCAGGCUGCUGCUCAGGUGAUCUGCCUCUUGGACCAGCUCUGAAGAUGGGACAAUGAUCAGUGUAAGAUCCCUGAGAUGCUGAGACACGAUGGGAUGGAGGAAAGCUAUGGGACAAGCGGCCUUUCAUAGGAGGAGGAGCUCCUUGUCAAAUGUGAGGAGCGAAGCAGGACAGGAGCAUGAGAACAGGAAGCCAGAAGUUAUGGGGACACUCAAGCAGCAGUAGGGAGAGGCUCAUGAGUAGAACUGAGGCAUCCUGCAAACAGCUAUGGACUAACCUGUAUUGGGAACAGAUUCUGCAGCUCCACGUAAGUCUUCAGAUGAUGGUUUAUUUUCUCUUUUUAAUUAAAAAAUUUUUAAAAAGGUAAUUAAAUUUAAGGAGGACUUCCCUUAUUAUAUCAAGAGGUUAAUACUCAAAAUGGUGGUGGUGUGUCAUUUUUAAGAAUUUUCCUUCAGAAUGAAAUUCUAAUGAUCUGGUAAGCAGUUAGAAUUUGGUUCUGCCCUAAGGCUUCUUUCUCAUAAUAAGAUUAAAAAUUGAGGGUAAACAGGAAACAAACAAAAUCUGAGAGGUGCAUUGAUUUCAAAUUAAGCUCAAUAACCCCCAAAUGUAAAAGUCCUUCCUGACAUAACACACAUAUCAAGACCCAAGAUUUCUCAGAGAGAAUCCGAUGCCCACUCUCUAGAGGCUAAGCUCCCACUGCAGGGGCAGUGUUACCUGUUACCUUUAGCUCUUUUUUCUCUCUCUGGCUUUUAUCUCAGAGGUCUGUUCCUUAGUCUCUGUUGAGGUGAAACUCCAAUAUCUGAAUUCAACCAGCCAAAUAAGCAACCUGUGUACAAGCCAAGUUAAAGUUUCACUCCCAUAAUGGAUGAGGAGAAACCAGAAGCCAUUUCUCAUGUGCAGGGAGUGCAUGAAUCCCCUGAAUUGCCAGGUUUCAGGGUCACAAGAGACCUCUAGAAGGCUCUGCUCAUCAUCACCUUAUCAUCUGGUAGGUUCCAGGUAUCUGGGUGCACAUGAAUUAAGUCUUAAUGACUUUAAAUUCUGUCUCAAAUUUUUAUCCUCUUAUAAGUUUAGGCUUUUUGUCUGAGGAAAAGUGCAAAUAUUCCAUGAAGACGUGAGGUCAGAUCUCUUUUGGCAGGGAUAAAGAAUACCACAGAGCGGGUCCUAAUGGCAAGGAGAGAGAAAGAGUAAGUAAGUAAGUUUUGAAGUGUAUGGGAAUGCCUUGGGAGGGAGAAAAAGUGUAGAAAUAAAAGGAUCUUGGUCUAAUUCUCCUUUGUGUCCAGAGGCAGCUCUGCAAAUACCAUCUUAAUGAGCCACUGCCUAGCCCCUAAUCUCAUAAAAUCCUCAAAGGGGAAAACGCAUGAAAGGCAGAGCUGAUUCUCUCUCUUUUGAUAUUUGCCCUUGGGUUUGCUGGCCUGACUUCUGGGACUCUGGGAACACAUGAAUUAGCAAGAACCAGAGAAGGCAUUGAAAACUAGGCCUCUUCAAUGAUGAGCCAAAUCAGACAGUUACCUUACAGCUUGCGUAUUUAUUGAACAAAUACUACUAAAAUAGCUAAAAUACAUUGGGUACUUGUCAUGAGUGCAUCAGUAAAGAUCACACUGUUACAAAAGCCUGCAUUUUCAGCAGUACACAACUGCAACUCUACAUAAAUGCCACAGAUGCAGAAUACUGUUUUCUUGCUCUAUUUACACAGCUGAUAUACCUAUUCUAACGAAGGAGGGAGAGGAGUAAUGCACAAGAAACUCAGGCCAAUGGGGGAGCAAGAAGAAAACGAAGAAGUGCAGUGCAUGCGUCAUUGGUGUUUAACAGUCAGAAGCGAACAGUUCAGAACAAGGCCUGCCCUGUCAAAAGAAGAGCUAAAAGACAGUUAUAUAAAAAUUAAGGUGGGCUUUCAGACUGGCUAACACAACAACAUUCCAUGAGUAGAUGGUAAUUUAUUUUUGUUUAUCCAUUUCGUUGGGAGCAAGGACAAAAAUGUAAAUCUACACCUUGCUUAUCAAAAUUGCCAAAAAAAGAAUGCUCUGCCUUUUAAAAAAGUAUCAUGAUUUUGUAGACAUUGUUUUCCAUUUUAAUAUGUGGAAAAGGUGUCAUUUUCCUAUCCCUACUCAGAUGCCAGUGUUUUGGGUUUUUGUCAGGGGGAAUUUAUUUAAAAAGGUUUUGCUCUUUUUUACGACAAAUAUCCUUUCAAACAGAAAGAAGCCAAAGAGACACCUCAAAAUGCCUGUAAAAUUAUUGCUUUUCUUUCUCUAAGUCAGGCAGGCGAGGCUACGGAAAGGAAGAGAUUUGGUAAGUAAAUUACAGUUUUGUGAUUGCUCCCGCUACCGUGACUGCAUGUCCGUGAGUGCCAGCCAACGAGACAAUCGUCUCUCACACUCUGGUAGCAUUUGCUCAACCUACAACACUGAGGAAGAAAGCCACACUGAAGACACAAGGAAAACAAGUCAAUCCAGUCUAGAGAACAACAUUCAGGGAAACAGAGUACCAACACCUUCUUAGAACAUGGAAAUAAAAAAUAACUCCAUCAGAGCUACCUCGCCAAGGAGCAUGUUGAAAGUCCAAAAUAGCACCAUUCAUCAGUGUCUCAGGUCCUGUGGCAGCAUCUCGGUCACUUACCACAAGGAAACAAUGAGUUUCAAACUACUUCUAUACAUCAAAAGAGUACAUGGAUAAAAUAUAGAGAUAUACAGACAAUUGAUGAACAUAAACUACUAGGUUUGUUACAUCUAAAUGAAAAAAAAAGGGGGGACUCUCAGCCUCUGCAAGAAGCAGUCGGGAGCUGUGUGAGUGAAAAGGCAGGAGUGGACCGGUUGUGUGAGCGCGGUGGGAGUUUGAGUUGUGGAAGACAUCGUUGUAGCGAACCAGGCCUGAAGGCCCACCUGUAAGGGUUGUAAACGUGGAUUCACAGUGUGAAAUUCUGAGCGUUUUCACUUGAGUCAGAAUGAUUAAAAACUGGUUUGAUGAUACCUAUUUGUCCACUGUAAAUUCUCUAAAGCAAGGCUCAGAGUCCCAUAGUUUCUUCUUAUACUUGAUGAUUUACACAGAAAAAAAUCCCAUAUAUGAUACCAUGACCUCAUCAAUACCCAUACACCAUAUGUAAUACAAAUGGAGGUGUUAUGAUUAAAAAAAGUGGAGGUAACUGAUUCUUGGGGAGCGGAGUUCACUGCUGCCCAGUGGAGUCAGGGAGGCAGCGUUUGUCUCAUCGUUCUUCUUGCGGUUCACUUCCUUUGGGACAGGAAGUCUUCCCUGCAAAGCAGGCAGACCCACACACAGACAGACACACAUAAAAGACAAAAUUAAUUAGUCAUGCUUCUGAAACCAUUUUUUAAAAUUUUGCUUUUCCUGCCCAGCCCACAUUUUACCCUUGAACUCUUGCUGUUUUGCAAAACAGAGUUUACAUAUUAAACACAGUUCACCUGAAUGUAAAUAUUAGGUCUGUGAGGAAAUAAAGUAAUUAAACACUGGCCACCUUUGCUUCAGUAGAAUGAAGUGCUUCUGUCACAGUGGUGCCAGCCAUGUGUGAGGCAGCAUUCCCCAGUGUCAGGUUUCUUGGGACAGUUUCUAGUAUCAGAUAGGGCCCAACCUUAGACUGGGUGAUAGAUACUCACAGGACUGUCAGUUGAUAAUUUAAAAAAAAAAAAAAGGAGUCCAGUGGGUGUGAUGAAGAAGAGUAACAAUCAAUUUUCUAAUAUGUAAUAAAAAUAUUUAAAAACGUAUCUCAACUUGCAUAAAUCUUAUCUAUGUAUGGCUUAUUCUAUUGGCAAUCGGCGCAUGCCAGAAGUGGCUACCAAAGAUGGGAAGUGUCGGGGAGAGAAAUAAUGUGAGGGUGCCCAGACAGCGGUUGUAGGAAAGUGGGGGCUAGUGGGGAAACCAAGGCCAGAAGAGAGUGAGAUUCAGCUCACCUAGACUGACUGGGGCUAUUCUAAGUCUCUCCUCACAAUUCUGAUGAGUAAAGUUUUUGUGUUUCUGACUAGAAUAACUCAAUCUCAGUGUGACUACUGAUCCGCCGCCACGUGGCUUCCCGGACACACUGCUGCAGCGCCAACAGUGGAGAGGAGCGCUCCAUCACAACCAGACAGCAGAAGCACAGCACAGUGAAGCCCACCUGCCCACAUGAUGCACAAUAAAGUAUUUUGAGACUCUAAAGUGAAGAGCUUAAGAGAAAAGAUCUAUUGACAAUCAUUAAUUACCUUUGCUCUCAAAUGAUUCAGACCUGACCUUUGGUAUUCCGCAAGGGCCUCAACUUCCAUUCCAUUGCCAAUGCUGGAUGUGGAGAAUGGAUGGUCCCAAGCAACAAUCAUUUGCCUUUCUGUCAAAAGCUGUCUCAGUUUAAAUGUACUGUAUUUUCUCUGCCUCUUCUCAUCGGAACAUGUUCUAGUCUACUCUCCAGGUGCUAGUUCUGGCAGUCAGAAAUAGUGCCACUUUUCAACUUCAAGUUUCUUACCAACCUUUGUGCAUUCUUGCAGCAAGAGUUCAUGAAAUAGCUGCAAAGUGCUGGACACUGUUAGUUUCUGGGGAUUGCAAGACAAACAAACAGUUUCUGCCUUCUAGAUGCUCAAGUCUGGGGGUGGGGCAGGUAGAGCAGGGGUGAUCAAUCCACAAAAAUUUACUUUCAAAAAUGUGUGUUAUGGGCUGACUUGUAUCACCUCAAAAUUCAUAUGGGGAAUUCCUAACCACCCAUACCUUAGAAUGCGAUUGUAUUUGGAAACAGGAUCUUUAUA